AGUGAACGCUGACGGUAGGCCUAACACAUGCAAGUCGAACGGCAGCACAGUAAGAGCUUGCUCUUACGGGUGGCGAGUGGCGGACGGGUGAGGAAUACAUCGGAAUCUACUUUUUCGUGGGGGAUAACGUAGGGAAACUUACGCUAAUACCGCAUACGACCUACGGGUGAAAGCAGGGGAUCUUCGGACCUUGCGCGAUUGAAUGAGCCGAUGUCGGAUUAGCUAGUUGGCGGGGUAAAGGCCCACCAAGGCGUCGAUCCGUAGCUGGUCUGAGAGGAUGAUCAGCCACACUGGAACUGAGACACGGUCCAGACUCCUACGGGAGGCAGCAGUGGGGAAUAUUGGACAAUGGGCGCAAGCCUGAUCCAGCCAUACCGCGUGGGUGAAGAAGGCCUUCGGGUUGUAAAGCCCUUUUGUUGGGAAAGAAAAGCAGCAGGUUAAUACCCCGCUGUUCUGACGGUACCCAAAGAAUAAGCACCGGCUAACUUCGUG
rnacentral:rRNA from 1 species